AUGCACUGUAUUUGAACCUGUGAUGCAUUGAUUGUAGUAUCGUAGGCCAUGCAGCAGUGCGACAGUAAAACUCUUGUUAUAACUGGAGCUUCUCAGCUUUGAACACUGAGCUGUUCUUUUAAGCACAAGUGACAAUG